GUGACUGCAAAUCUGGCUCCUAAGUCACUUAAAGGCAUACAGCAAAAGAAGCCAAGAAUGGCCUCUACCAUUUAUUUAAAUGUCAUUAAUAAAAGCGUCAGUGAACACUGCACAGAAAGUUAGCCUCCAGAGAACAGGACUGGCUGCUCUCCCUCCUUCCUGAGAAUAAAAGCAGACGAAGCAUCCUGAUUCUGUGGUUGUCCUGCCGUCACCUCUGAAAGAGAUUAAAUAAUGGGUGAUGCUCUUGCUACUCUUUGGACCAAAUAAUGUUCCAGAACAAACACUCGUCCUCAGAAAAGAUGGGUUAUUCAUUACCCCAUAUAAAGAGUAUUAGCUUAUGAAUGUCUCACUUUGC
rnacentral:lncRNA from 1 species